GGGGAAUUUUCCGCAAUGGGCGAAAGCCUGACGGAGCAAUACCGCGUGAGGGAGGAAGGCUCUUGGGUUGUAAACCUCUUUUCUCAGGGAAGAACACAAUGACGGUACCUGAGGAAUAAGCAUCGGCUAACUCCGUGCCAGUAGCCGCGGUAAUACGGAGGAUGCAAGCGUUAUCCGGAAUGAUUGGGCGUAAAGCGUUCGUAGGUGGUCCUUCAAGUCUGCUGUCAAAGCGCAGGGCUUAACUCUGUACAGGCGGUGGAAACUGAAGAGCUAGAGUGCGGUAGGGGUAGAGGGAAUUCCCGGUGUAGCGGUGAAAUGCGUAGAGAUCGGGAAGAACACCAGCAGCGAAAGCGCUCUACUGGGCCUGCACUGACACUGAGGGACGAAAGCUAGGGGAGCGAAUGGGAUUAGAUACCCCAGUAGUCCUAGCCGUAAACGAUGGAUACUAGGUGUUGCCUGUAUCGACCCGGGCAGUGCCGUAGCUAACGCGUUAAGUAUCCCGCCUGGGGAGUACGCGCGCAAGCGUGAAACUCAAAGGAAUUGACGGGGGCCCGCACAAGCGGUGGAGUAUGUGGUUUAAUUCGAUGCAACGCGAAGAACCUUACCAGGGCUUGACAUGUCGCGAACCUCAGGGAAACUUGAGGGUGCCUUCGGGAGCGCGAACACAGGUGGUGCAUGGCUGUCGUCAGCUCGUGUCGUGAGAUGUUGGGUUAAGUCCCGCAACGAGCGCAACCCUCGUCCUAAGUUGCCAGCAUUAAGUUGGGCACUCUGAGGAGACUGCCGGUGACAAACCGGAGGAAGGUGGGGAUGACGUCAAGUCAGCAUGCCCCUUACGUCCUGGGCUACACACGUACUACAAUGCUACGGACAAAGGGCAGCCAGACAGCAAUGUCGAGCAAAUCCCAUAAACCGUGGCACAGUUCAGAUUGCAGGCUGCAACUCGCCUGCAUGAAGGUGGAAUCGCUAGUAAUCGCAGGUCAGCAUACUGCGGUGAAUCCGUUCCCGGGCCUUGUACACACCGCCCGUCACACCAUGGAAGCUGGCUUAGCCCGAAGUCGUUACCCUAACCCGCAAGGGAGGGGGACGCCGAAGGCAGGGCUGGUGACUGGGGUGAAGUCGUAACAAGGUAGCCGUACCGGAAGGUGUGGCUGGAUCACCUCCUU
rnacentral:rRNA from 1 species